rnacentral:rRNA from 1 species
AUACGUAGGUGGCAAGCGUUAUCCGGAUUUACUGGGUGUAAAGGGCGUGUAGGCGGGACUGCAAGUCAGAUGUGAAAAUUAUGGGCUCAACCCAUAACCUGCAUUUGAAACUGUGGUUCUUGAGGGUGAUGGAGAGGCAGGCGGAAUUCCGUGUGUAGCGGUGAAAUGCGUAGAUAUACGGAGGAACACCAGUGGCGAAGGCGGCCUGCUGGACAUUAACUGACGCUGAGGCGCGAAAGCGUGGGGAGC